rnacentral:pre_miRNA from 1 species
AGUGGGAUAGCUGGGUCAUAUGGUGGUUCCAUUCCAAAUUUUCUAAGGAAUCUCCAUAUAGGUUUCCAAAUUGGCUGCACCAAUUUGCAAUCCCAGCAGCAAU